CCUACGGGAGGCAGCAGUGAGGAAUAUUGGUCAAUGGGCGGGAGCCUGAACCAGCCAAGUCGCGUGAGGGAUGACGGCCCUAUGGGUUGUAAACUUCUUUUAUAUGGGAAUAAAAUGUUCCACGUGUGGGAUUUUGUAUGUACCAUAUGAAUAAGGAUCGGCUAACUCCGUGCCAGCAGCCGCGGUAAUACGGAGGAUCCGAGCGUUAUCCGGAUUUAUUGGGUUUAAAGGGAGCGUAGGUGGAUUGUUAAGUCAGUUGUGAAAGUUUGCGGCUCAACCGUAAAAUUGCAGUUGAAACUGGCAGUCUUGAGUACAGUAGAGGUGGGCGGAAUUCGUGGUGUAGCGGUGAAAUGCUUAGAUAUCACGAAGAACUCCGAUUGCGAAGGCAGCUCACUGGACUGCAACUGACACUGAGGCUCGAAAGUGUGGGUAUCAAACAGGAUUAGAUACCCUGGUAGUC
rnacentral:rRNA from 1 species